GCGUGGUACACCGGUGGGGCAUCCCACGGGUGUUAAAAGGAAGUGAUUCCGGCGGAGGAUGGGCAUGCGGCGCAUUAGCUAGUUGGCGGGGUAACGGCCCACCAAGGCGACGAUGCGUAGGGGUUCUGAGAGGAAGGUCCCCCACACUGGUACUGAGACACGGACCAGACUCCUACGGGAGGCAGCAGUGAGGAAUAUUGGUCAAUGGGCGGGAGCCUGAACCAGCCAAGUCGCGUGAGGGAAGACGGUCCUAUGGAUUGUAAACCUCUUUAGGCGGGGAGCAAUGCCGGGCACGCGUGCCCGGAGGGAGAGUACCCGCAGAAUAAGCAUCGGCUAACUCCGUGCCAGCAGCCGCGGUAAUACGGAGGAUGCGAGCGUUAUCCGGAUUUAUUGGGUUUAAAGGGUGCGUAGGCGGAUUUUUAAGUCAGCGGUAAAAUGUCCGGGCUCAACCCGGGCCGGCCGUUGAAACUGGGGAUCUUGAGUGGGCGAGAAGUAUGCGGAAUGCGUGGUGUAGCGGUGAAAUGCAUAGAUAUCACGCAGAACUCCGAUUGCGAAGGCAGCAUACCGGCGCCCGACUGACGCUGAGGCACGAAAGCGUGGGGAUCGAA
rnacentral:rRNA from 1 species